GAUGAACGCUGGCGGCGUGCCUAAUACAUGCAAGUCGAGCGAACAGACGAGGAGCUUGCUCCUCUGACGUUAGCGGCGGACGGGUGAGUACCACGUGGAUAACCUACCUAUAAGACUGGGAUAACUUCGGGAAACCGGAGCUAAUACCGGAUAAUAUAUUGAACCGCAUGGUUCAAUAGUGAAAGACGGUUUUGCUGUCACUUAUAGAUGGAUCCGCGCCGCAUUAGCUAGUUGGUAAGGUAACGGCUUACCAAGGCAACGAUGCGUAGCCGACCUGAGAGGGAGAUCGGCCAGACGGGAAGUGAGACACGGUCCAGACUCCUACGGGAGGCAGCAGUAGGGAAUCUUCCGCAAUGGGCGAAAGCCUGACGGAGCAACGCCGCGUGAGUGAUGAAGGUCUUCGGAUCGGAAAACUCUGUUAUUAGGGAAGAACAAAUGUGUAAGUAACUAUGCACGUCUUGACGGUACCUAAUCAGAAAGCCACGGCUAACUACGUG
rnacentral:rRNA from 1 species